AACCGUUGCAUUGUGGGUGGUAAGCAGU
rnacentral:piRNA from 1 species